ACUGGGAGCGCAACCACACUGUAAAAAGUGGUCUGUAAAAAAAAGUCUGUAAAAUUGUGCGACUCAUGUCUGUAAUUGCCUUUUCCUGCAUAAAAUAUGUUUUCUUGGUCCAAGAUGAUCGUGUGAAACAACCGGUGCGCUGACGGUGCGCCCGGUGCGCGGUGUUUAUUGCACCGUUGCAGAGAUUUCCAGGGGCGUUGUAUUCGCGCCGCGCAGAGCAGGUGGUUGCAGCAGGUGACGGCCGCUUUUCGGUUGGCGGUGUUUCGCAGACGACACGACGACCUACAACGCCUGCAACUUACAAGGUGAAGUUUGGCACGGUGGCACCGCUCCUGGAACUUAAUUGCGUUGGAAGUGAACGAUAAGUUCUGCUUUUGACUGACCGUAAACACAGAGCUCAAAAUUGUAAAAGACACAAGGAAGCAUACGUUCCUGUCGCGGAGGAGAGCGUGGCGCUACAUGAAAGAUGUACGUUUCCGAUCGAGCCCUAACACAAAUCCAAAGAAACGAAAAUGACCGAAAGAAAGUGAUGUCAUUUAUAAGCAGCCUGAAGGAGAACAAAACCUCAAAGUGGGCUACAAGGUUGAACUGCUACAAGAACAAGAAAGGCAUCAGACAGCUUCUUCUUUAAGUCAUUCAUGUGGUGAAAAGACGGCAUUUUCUUUCUGUGUGUGUUUUCACUGUAUGCACUGAAUCAUAAUAAAACCUCCUAUAUGGUCA